AGCGAACGCUGGCGGCAGGCUUAACACAUGCAAGUCGAACGCUCAUCUUCGGAUGGGAGUGGCAGACGGGUGAGUAACACGUGGGAACGUACCCUUUGGUUCGGAACAACUCCGGGAAACUGGAGCUAAUACCGGAUACGCCCUUUUGGGGAAAGGUUUACUGCCGAAGGAUCGGCCCGCGUCUGAUUAGCUAGUUGGUGGGGUAACGGCCUACCAAGGCGACGAUCAGUAGCUGGUCUGAGAGGAUGAUCAGCCACACUGGGACUGAGACACGGCCCAGACUCCUACGGGAGGCAGCAGUGGGGAAUAUUGGACAAUGGGCGCAAGCCUGAUCCAGCCAUGCCGCGUGAGUGAUGAAGGCCUUAGGGUUGUAAAGCUCUUUUGUCCGGGACGAUAAUGACGGUACCGGAAGAAUAAGCCCCGGCUAACUUCGUGCCAGCCGCCGCGGUAAGAC
rnacentral:rRNA from 1 species